GGAUCUCAGACGUUUGAUAUGAUUUAUAGAAGCACAGCCCUUUGAAAUAAGACAAUGAACUGUAGACUUGGGCAUAUUUAAAUAAUUCAAACAUUGUCUAAUAGUGUGUGGUUCCAGGAGGAAAGAAGAACUGUCGACACCAGAAAAUUUCAUGCUGGAAUUCUGCCAAAGAAUAGCUGGCCAUCCUAGGGAGGUCCAUCAUUAUGGAACUUUGCUGUUUGUAAAUUUAAUAAACGACUCA
rnacentral:lncRNA from 1 species